GGGGGGAGGCCGGAUCCUGGGCUGUGUCCCCGGCGCCCAGUGCUCCGGGGCCUGCGCUGUUGGAUUCGCACUCCCCCUCUCCGUGGAGCUGCUGCCU
rnacentral:pre_miRNA from 1 species